CUCAAUAUUUUUAAAGGCUACUAAUUAUACAUACAAUUCAUCGUUCAUCUAAUUCAAUUAUGUAAUAAUAUGUGAACAUCCAAUUACUUAAAAAAUUAGACACAAUGAUAAGUAUAUUUGUAUCAUACUUGUAUAUUUUCUAAUGAUAAAAAAUUAGGGAAAACAAAUCUAGUACUAUAUCUUCAAGUUGCCUUCAACAUUGCACCAAAAAUUCUUGAUCUUCAUGGCCUGCACCAAACAUUCUUUAUCUUCACAGCCUGCAUAUGAAUUUAGAACAAAAAUAUAAUUGUGUUUUGCUCUUAGAAAAAAUAUUUACCACCAUUAAAUAUAUAUCUAGUACUACGAUUACAAGAAUAAUAUGCUAAAAAAAAGUAAAAGAAAAUUAAAAAGAAAAAACUCAAUGAUAUAUUCUGAGAAACUAGUGUAACUAAAAAAUCACAAAACAAAAAGUUUAGAAUUUUAAAAAGAUAGCAAGAGAAAAAUAAAUAAGCAAUAAUAAUAAUAAUAAUAAUAAUAAUAAUUUGAAAAGAAAAUGGCAAAACACAAACCUCUGUUUUUGGUGAGGUUACAAAACUGGGUCAGUGUGCGGUUGGCCAAAAGCUAGAGGUGCAGCCGUGUAGGAGUUGGGUCUUCUUCAAUUGGGAGGCAUUAUUUUAUCAUCUCAAAUCCAACCAAAAAAAAAAAAGGUUAUCUUCAAUUAAUUUUCUAAAAAAUCCAAAUUCACAAUUCAACACAAAAUUUAAAAAUUAAUGAUAUCAAUAAUUUUAGGAGAGAAAUUGGAAACAAAAGAACAAUUAUAACAAAAAUUUAAAAACCCAAAAGCAAAAAUUGUGAAUUACCUUCAUGAAACCAGUUUUUGGGACCCAUCAAUUUCUUCUGUCAAACUCAAGUCAUUUGGAGAUUCAAUUGCUCAACAAGUUAAAGGAUGAUUAUGUUAUAUGAUUUCUAAGGAAAUUUUGAGGGAUUAGGACUUUACUUGCUUUGAUGUGUGAAGACUAGAGAGAGACGGAUUGAGGAGAGAAGAAAACAAAAGCUUUGACUUUGGCUGUUAGGUGAAAGCUGAGAGAGAGGCAAAAGGAUU
rnacentral:lncRNA from 1 species